UACGUAGGGGGCAAGCGUUAUCCGGAAUCACUGGGCGUAAAGGGUGCGUAGGCGGCCUUACAAGUCAGAUGUGAAAGACCCCGGCUCAACCGGAGAUGUGCAUUUGAAACUGCCUGGCUUGAGGGCAGGAGAGGAGAGUGGAAUUCCCGGUGUAGCGGUGAAAUGCGUAGAUAUUGGGAGGAACACCAGUGGCGAACGCGGCUCUCUGGCCUGUAACUGACGCUGAGGCGCGAAAGCGUUGGGAGCAAACAGG
rnacentral:rRNA from 1 species